rnacentral:rRNA from 1 species
UACGGGGGGGGCAAGCGCUGUUCGGAAUUACUGGGCGUAAAGGGUGCGUAGGCGGUUUGCUAUGUCGGAUGUGAAAACUCUGGGCUCAACCCAGAGCCUGCAUCCGAAACUGGCGAGCUAGAGUUCUGGAGGGGGUAGCGGAAUUCCUGGUGUAGCGGUGAAAUGCGUAGAUAUCAGGAGGAACACCGGUGGCGAAGGCGGCUACCUGGACAGAAACUGACGCUGAGGCACGAAAGCUAGGGGAGCAAACAGG